CCCGCAGCAGCCGCCCCUCUCCUCCUCCCAGCCCGCUGCUGCCCCCAGGCUCGGCGCAGCGCCGCCUGUCCCAAGGGAACGGCGGGCGCACCUGGCGCCGCGGGCGGGCGCCUGGGCACUGCGCGCGGGUGGCCCCAUCGCCUGGCGCGCAGCUGCCGGCGCGCUCCCUCCCGAAACCCCGAAGUGGAGUGGCUUGUCUAGCGCCCGGCGAACAACAUUAUCCAAUUGCUUCCCGUUUUAUUCGCAGGCUGGGAGCCGAGAAAGCCUGAGCGUUCACUUUCAACCCUCCCG
rnacentral:lncRNA from 1 species